GAUGGAACAGACGAGGAAAAGAGAUUGGGCGGCACGGUAGUUUUGAAAAGCUUAACAAAUACCUAUCUUUCAGCAUUCAGGAAGGUCCUUCAUGCCUUUAAGGAGUAUAAAUGUGAUAUUAAAGGUCAUGAAGUUGUCAUGCAUAUAUAGAAUAUGUCGCUCGAGUAAGUUCAACAGACACUUGGCCUAGAAACUGAACGCAUCAAAUACAGUUCUGUUUAAGUAGGCUGUAAUUUAGGAGAGGCAAUUUUAGUUAGAGCAGAAUGUUUGUUGCGAAUGACAUCACUUAAUUCUUGUUUGUCUCAUUUGUUAGUUAUUUGUUAGUCAUGUCCAGUUUUAUUAGGUGGCAACUUUUCAGUGUUUAGUUGGCGUAAUAUAAUAUUUUAAUUAAAAUGGGGAGACUGAAACUACCGUAGAAUUGACAUUUCAUCCAAGAUAUGACGUGUCUUAACUACCGUGCCUCUCGACUGUAAGAUACAGGGGCGUCACUUGUGAAAGCCCGUCUGUUUACAGUAUAAUGUCAUGUAUAUUAAGCUGCAACGCGUACUUUUAUGGUUGCAAUUUGCUUUGUGGGUAUAGUAGUCUGAUGCCCGCCACCAGAUGACUACCUGAAAUAUUACUACAUAUUUCGCUGUAGACUGUAUUUAUUUUAAAAUAGUCUGUCACUGAGGUCUAAUGUGUUACGUUUACUGAAGAAAUGCUGAAAUAUUGGUUAUAGAUAUUUGUUUCGAGUAUUAAACAUGAAAUGUGGACCCGAGGGAUGGAGAAAAUGACAAGUUUCUUUUCUCAGAAGCUUCUUUUGCUGUGUGAGUGAAAAUGACUUGGAGCAGCACAAACGUUUAAAUUAAGUAGCACUCGUAGAAGUGCAUUCAACUGUUCUUUUCUUUGAGGGUCGGGGGGUCCGGAGCCUAUCCCGAAGGCAACAAGCACAAGGCAGGGAACAACCCAGGAUGGGGCCCUGGGAGGAUUCAAGAAUUUGGCUAGAAAUCCAUUUACUGAUAAUGUUUACAUGUUGGAAUAAUCCUGCUGCAAACGUCCAAUGUAUUUGGUGUACAUAGGGCAGCAGAAAAUCUCUGCUACUGAUGAUGGUCCAAUCUCUAAGACCUGUUGGAUGAAACCAACAGCAGAUUACAACAUUUCCUUUAUGACUAAAUAUAUUUUGAAAAUUAUUAUGCAUUAAUGGGUAACAUAUAAAUUUAAAGCUGGGACGUGAUGCAGCUAUAAUUAAAAUCAUAUUCAGUAAAAAAUGUUCAUGGCCCUUGUUAUACUUGUAUUUUAUAUAUCAGGUAUAGAUGUUGUUGUGAAGCAACGUAGUAUGUUGUCAUUGUAACCGAUGCGCAAACUGGGUCACAUUGGUCCAGAUUGUGUGAAAUAUAUGUAAAAUAUGAAAAAACAUAAUUUGUCUUCAUUAUAGGUACUCAAAUCACAAUUUCAGAGCCAGGGUAUAUAUUGCAAGUUCUUUAUGCACAUUGUUUAAAUUAAAGUAACUAUAGUGGACGAUAAUACGUCAGAUUCAUUAGAGUUUAAUUCGAAUUUAAACGCAAGCGAGAGAUGCAUCUGAUUUUAUUGCGACCGGCACGAAGAAUCUGUAUUGAAUCGUAAUGUUCUUAACCAAAUAUUUAUUUAGAAUAGCACGUUAAGGAAAGUCGUGGUAUUGAUUGAGCAGAGGCUGAUGGAUACCGUCUUCUUCUUUGCGCUAAGUCCUUCACCUCGCUAUACGGAAGUUGAACUCAGCAUCCCUGCGAGAGAGAAAACAAUCUUGUCUGACCCCUUCGCUUUCAGAUUAACUUGCUGAGCAUCAUCAAAUGGCUCGUAAGAGUGUUUUUUUACAGCUCGCCUUUCUUCUGAUUGCAUCUAAUUUAAAACUAUCUUCAAUUAUUGUUGUGACAAAAUCCAUGCAGUUGUUGUAAUAGUGUCCCUUGAUGAUCUCAUUAUUUCCCUGUGAUGGCUUGAUUCAAAUGGCUUUGUUUACUCAGACUGGGUGGGAUAUCAAGAAUGAAGUUCUUCCUAAAGAGAGCUAAAGUUUAAAUGUGAAAUUCGCUGUUUUAUGGCAAGUGAAGGAGAACGGCGUUUAUAGCAUUUUUACUGCAGUCAAUUAUUUUAUACAACCGCUAUUGCAUAUCAUGUACGCUUUUGCAGUAUGCUGUGUUUUAUGCAUUGUAAUACCCAUAGAUUAAAUUUAAAUUUCGAAAUUGUA